CCUGCGUGCAAACAGUUUGAUUAUCUGAUUAGAAAGUUUCUUUAAAUUAAGUUGUCUUAUUCGAGUAUCGGUUUGUAUAAUUAAUGGCAUUUUCUCAAUUACAUUGAAAAUAAUACAACUAUACGAUUUCACCUCUGUGAUAAAUAUCUAUGAGAUGAAGCCCUUCUAAAUUAAAAUAGUGAAGGAAAUGAGGAGUGAUCGUCAUUUGAAAGAUCGUCUUAAUUUAAAUAGUUAAUUUAUUAAUGAUUAAUCUAUGCAGAAUUAAUAUCACGAUGUUUUAUAUCUCGCAUCGAGCAAAUCCUAAGAAACGCACAAAUUAUUGUCGUUUGCACCCAUAAAAUAUUUCUGUCAAAGGGGUAGGAAGACAUCUACAGUUAAUUUCAGGGCGCUUCCGAUCAUAAAUUGAUAGGAUCAUAGUGAUUAUCGUCUUUUCUUACGGUCCAUAAGCUGCGGCAGCUACGGGUAACUGCACGCCGCUACAAAGAUGACUGUAGUGAUGAAACUAAGAUCGAUCGUUCAUAUGAUUUGAUCUUUAUCGGUCGCACAAAUCUACAGAGUCAAAUAUAUCUAAACAAACUUGAAUUUUAGAUAUAAAAGAAUUUUGAGAAAUUUAUAAUUAAAAGAAAAUAUGUCGUUAAUCUAAGAUCGUUAUGCAAUAACACCGCGUGCUAAUUUACUAUUCGUAUCACAGAACUGAAAUUAUGUGCUAAUUACAGUCGCAUAAAUAUAUAUAAAUAAAGUCAUUCAGUUUUAGUCACAAUAAUAAAAAAAUGUAUUACAAGACUUUCAGGAAGAAAGCGAUUCUAAUCAGUGAUUCCUCGCUAAUACCUACGUAUUGUUGUACUCCACGCGAACAAAUUACGUAAAAUUGAUUUACUUUCAUGCUUACGGUUAAUGCCGGAAUGUAUAAAUUAUGAAGCAAUCCGCUAUUGAUGCACACGGAAGCGGUAUAAAUUAUUUAAAUGAGUCAAUUACAUUCAGAAAUCGUUCCCGUAAGCACGUACGGUUCUUCUAUUUCAAUAUAACGCACGCUUAUCAAACGGCAGCGCGAGGUUAACCGAACGAGUGUCUUGAGAAAUCGUAACAUCAAGCAGAAGUUGAAGAAUAUAUUUAGAAGCUCUCAAUUAAAAAAGCUAAAUUAAAAUUUCCUUAAAAUCAUUCCAAUUUUAUUCGCACAAGUGGAGCAGACGAAUUGACAAGAAAAGUGACACAAAAAUGCGAAAUGCAGAUUGGUUUUUGUUCUACGUGAUUUUUGAGAAAAAAAAUAAGAGGAGGAGCAAAAUGGUCGAGGCAACAACACGAAAGUGGCAUUUGCAGAAUGGAUGCUGCAUUUCUUCAAAUGACAAGGGGGAAAUAAAAACGCGAUUUUAUGAUGCGACUUUAUUAAGCUCUCGUCCCAUAGAAUGUUUGUAAAUUACAUCCGCGACAUUUAUGCGGGAAUAUUUUACGUUCUAAUAAAAAUCUAUGCAUGAAAAUCGAAUGCGUUUGCUGCAAAAUAACUUUAAUUUCUUUCAUCAGUUGUAUCCCAUCUCUUUUUUUGUUAGAUUUGUUAUUUUACGUUUGCCUUAUAUUUUGCUUACAAGUUUCAUUCAAUUUGAUUGAAGAGGAUAUGAAUAAGUGUUAAAGUCGGUAUCUGUUAAAUCGAAAAAACUAUAUGUAUGUAUAUACUACGAAUAUAUUGUCGCACAAGCGAUGUUUACCGAAUAUUUUUAUUUAAAAUUAACUCGUUAUAUGCAACACGUUGGUCUUCGGAUUUGCUUCUGUUUUAAUUAUCGCGUACGUGUCUUAUACUUGAGUCGCAAUAUGCAAUCACCAUUAACGCAUUCCCACGAUUACAAGAUCGCUUGCAUACGUGGCCGGGUGUACGACUAGUUCUUCUUCUGAUUGCGGAUGUGUCAUUAGUGUCACUGUCACUGAUGUCUCAGAAAUUCCCACGUCUGUUCACCGCGCGCAACCGCGGCUAACCGCGUCGCCUCUGACGAAGAAGAUACAGUUCUUUUGAAAUAUUUUGACAUAACUCGAGAUUUUAUACCGCUUGUCCUUUUCGGUCAAACAAUCGUAACUAUUUUUUCGUCGACGUAACGGAGCCUUGCGAUUAUUCCGAGUGACUCGUCGAUGUACCCGUUAAGUGCGACAGCGAUUUAUCUUCCGCCCAUUAUUCGUUCGUAAAUCAAUCUGUAGGCUGUCGUUAGCGCUUUUCAAAUUCAAACGUAAACUUGACCUACUGCUAAAUAUAAUGAUUAAUCUUUAAUGGUAGUUCUGUGUAGCCUGCAAUUUGCAGUGAAGAGAGUUUAUCAGAAUUGCGCAAAUUAAGUAAGCCUUUUAAUUCCCUUGAGGUUAAAUCUGUAUUCAAAUAUAUUUCGGUGCUGUUUCAUGUAUUUGGCAUCGUUUCAUGUAUUAUGCAUUAUUUUACAUUACUAUGCCAUUGAGCCGAGUUGGAAUUGUCAAGAAAGUAUGCUGGGAAAUCGUUGUUUGGAAAACCUACUGAUCUACUGAAUUAGAAAAGAGCGUAGAAAAUUCGUAGAAUUUGCCGUUGCUAUUAACGCUGCUUCACGAAGAUUCUAAUAUUGUCAGUAUACAUUUCCUUAAAUAUUUAAUAUUAAUAACUAAUACUUUUAUGAAUCUCAGAAAAUAAGUCUUUUAGAACCAUGUUAACACAAUGAAAGUUUUCAAGAUAAAAGAAACACUUUUAAAAUUUUA